GGCGGCGGGGGCAGUACGGCUGGAGGGUGACGUCAUCACGGCCAAUGGAUCCAUCCUCUCGGGUCAGUGUCCGCAGGAGGCAGCGUCCUUCACUGACCUGACCUCCGUGUGCUCCUGUACCUGCGUGUCCUGUGCGCCGUGCCCUUCGUUGCCCUUCAGAAACUCUCAGAGCAUGCGGAAGAACCCCAUCAGCCUGGCGUACAUCCUGCCGCACCGCCGCAACUUCCGCAAGAGCCAGUCUCAGCACCAGCAGGUCACCCACACGGAGACUCAAGAGGACCUGUGUUCCUCGUCCGAGUUCGAGGCGGUCGCGACGCCGGCGCACCUGCAGAAGCGGAACUCUGUCUAGCCCAGUGACGAUCGGAAAGAUAAUAAACAAAAACGAGAGACAGAGAGAGAGAGAGAGAGAGAGAGAGAGAGAGAGAGAGAGAGAGAGAGAGAGAGAGAGAGAGAGAGAGAGAGAGAGAGAGAGAGAGAGAGAAAUGAGAGAGAGAGAGAAAGGAAAAUGUAAUUGAAAAAAAACAAUAACGUAAAACUGUACGUGUGGGACGGAUAGCAAAGGAAGGUUUAUAUGGCAUGCAAUAUUGUUAGUGCUGAUAGAUUUCGUUUCAUGCUGUAGACUUAAAAACAAGGCAGAUUGACAAGAGCGAGAACAACGUUAUUGCAUAUGCGAGUGAUAUUAAGAGGGAAAGUGCAGUGUGUUUAUCAGGACGAAACAAAUGCAGUGCAUUAACAACAAUUUGUCACUCUGAGUUGGACACUCUUUUGACUGAGUCAUGGUGAAGUGUGAAGUCAGAGGUCAUUAUUUGACGUCGUGUGGACAUUUGUGAUAUGAAAUUAUAUGAAGCCAACAUGUUAAUUUUGUCCAGAACCGUCGCGGAUUCUGAAACGCUUUUAAGAUCAACAUAUUCUUUGUUCAGAUGCGAGGUGGUGACGAAGAUGAAGAAGGAUGCCGUCCCAAUUUUCCCUAAUGCUAAAGUCAUAUGCCUUGACCUGACAUGACCUCGUUUCGUUAUCAAGAGCUGCCAGAACGGUCCAGGGGGCGGAUAUCCGACUCGAGGUCAUGUCAAGACGUGUGGGAAGGUCCAGCGCGCGGUGACCAUGGAGACGAGAGUUAACCGAAGGUGGUGGUGUUACCUGGACUUUGCAACCUGCUGGGCCUCUCGCGGUGACUUUGCAACGUGCUGGGCCUCUUGUGGUGACAAUGCAACCUACUGGGCCUCUUAUGGUGACCUUGCAACUUGCUGGGCCUCAUGUGAUGACAUUGCAACGCGAUGGCGCCGAGGCACCUCAUACAAGUGGCCUUGGAAGUUCUGACGUCUUCCAGGCCCAGGAAAAUAAGGUUACUGACGAGAGCGCCAGCCGCCAGCCUUGUUCGGAUCCCCCGAGGAAGAAAAACAGACCAUGUUCAGAUAUCAGGAAAUCGGUUGUUUUGAUUGCGUGCAACUGGAACGUUGAAAUGGGAACCUCGCAAGACUUCAGGAAGAAAAAUCGUUUGCACAACUGCCGGCAAUGCUUCAAAUCGAUCGACCAGAAAGUCUCAGCACGAGCGGGCCAUUAGCAGUCCCUCAGCGCAAUUCCGGUCGAGGUCUUCUGGGAAGAUGGAUUCGCGACUCCUGUUCUCGCUGGCAGGAAUUGCAAACUUUCCCGAGGAAGCAAGCAACGUUUCUUCUCGAGGUCUUGGACGGAGAAAAAAGUUCCAGGUCGUCACUAUGUGACUUAGUAUAUAGGAGAGCAAAGAUUGAUUGUUUGAGGGCCUUUGGGCAGCAGGGACUCCUUGUACCAAGCCCGACCGCCAUUCCAUAAAAUUUAUUCUUUACUGUGUUCUUAGGAUAAGGCUUCAGACCUUGUUGUUUUACUAUGGUGAUUGGCAUAUUAAAAAGUUUCUAUUGAUCAUUCGUCAGGGAAAUUUUGCCUCAUUCUAUAUCCAACUAUUUUUUUGUAUUUCAUCUUAAUGCAGCACGUCUGUUUUGGCAGGGGUGAAAAGGUGACAACGUGCAUGAGCUAAGGAAGACGAAAAAGUAACCGUGUAUGUAUGUUGCUGUGAUAACUUUCUUCACGAUAUGCAAAUUAGAGAAGUUGUCGAGAGCUACGUAGCCAGAAUGGUCAGUGUAAAUACUAUACAGAGAUAUUUCUCAUAUAUAUAUAGGAAGCAUUUAUCAUGUCAGUAACCAGAGGAAGUGUUUAAUAAUAAAGCUAUAAAAAAAACUCGUCACUGACUGCGACCGGUAUCGUUCAACAGAACUUCUUUCCAAAAAAAAAGUUAUAGUGUUAGACAAAAUAGCGUCCAAGAGGCUACGAGUUCACUUUAAUUUUUCACUUAUUAAUAGUUGCUAUCAUGGCGCUAGAUUUGGGCAGAAUUAUUACUAUAUAGACAUGUAAGCCUCCAUAACGAAUUAUUUUUAAGCCUUAUAUUCAAGAGAGAGAGCUCGAAGGUGAAGUGGAAGAAAUCUCCAGUCGACGAAGUAAGAAAAGAGUGAUUUCUGAUCACUUCUGGAAACCUUUUAGGAGGACCUUUUGGAGUUCUUUCUUUUCUUUCUCACUCGCUACAUUUGCUACAAGAGCUUUAUGAAUGAUAUUUUUUUCUUUCCUUCAAGAUUCUUCAAGUGCUAUUAGAGGAACCAGAGGACUGUGCCGAGUAUGAGACCGUGACAUUCUGUCUCUUUCGCUGCCACCUUUACGAAGCCCCGAUCACGCAUCCUCAUCCUUAAUAUCAGCAAUCAUCUGUCUAAUUUAUCAUCGUCAGCGUUACGUUUCUGGAGUCAUUCAUUGUAACUAUUAUUAUCAAUAUCUUUUAUUAUUAUCAUCCUCUCUUUGACACUUCUGUGGCUUCUUUUUCCUCAUCUUCAAUAUAAUCGUGGCAUGGCUCACACACUUGUUUCUCUCCUUUUAUUUGGAUUUUCAUCAUAUUUUCAUCUCUUUAUGACAUUCCUCAAGUAUUAGCCCUCAUGGCAACAUCACUUUCUAGUUCCACCAGACAUCAAAAGCAGUUCAAUAGCUUUUCACUUUUCCUUCCUUAGGCCUACUCCUGUGUAGGCCUACUCCGCCCUAAAGUGUCAUUACAACUUGCAUUUCCAUUUCACGUCACCCGCCUCCAAGUCAGCUCCACUUCUCACCACUGCUUCCACCUCACCACUGCAUCCAUUUCGAUUCCCUAGAAUCGCCACUUCUCUGGGUAUAAAUACUUGCAAAUUCCUCUCUGCCAUAAUUCGGCAUAUUGUCCUGUACAGUUUAUUCUUCACCUUAUGUUUCCAAGUAAAGCAAGUGUCGCGUCCGAGCGAUUUAAAGAUAAAUAAAUUGAUGGUCUAGUUAGUAAUGAUCAACUAAACAGAUAACUGAAAGUGACCUCAGAGUGUGUCCCCCAGAUGCACAUUUAUGUUGAAGCAGAUUCUUGCCCUUGGACUUCCGUUUGCCUAUUCUUCUUUCCUAUCAGGUCAGUUAGAGUUGCAUUGUGAUAUUGCAAAUUUAUAACGAGCACCCAUUGUUCUAUCCAUGACAUAGUUCUGCGUUCUGGUUUAAUAUUUUACAUUUGAUGAUCCUCUGUAUGCCUCCUGGGAUUCCCCUGUUUCCUGGGGCUCCGGAACUGUCCCUUCAGAGACGGUUUGGCGUGCCGCCCUCGCCUGACUGGCCGUUCUCCCGCGGCCCGGCUUGGGGGAACGGGCGCCAGCCUUCCCCACUUGAAGGAGCACACGAAACCCAUGGUCCAUGGCGGCGGCUGUCUAGUACUUUACAGUCUUCGCUUUCAUUAUGGCAUAACCUCGGCUCUUAUAAUAUCUCUUAUUACUGAGGUCAGCCAUUGCCUUACACGAUAGACUCUAGCUCGUCCAUAAGAAAAGGGGAAAAUAUAUAUGUAUUUUUAAAUGUUUCUUUCCUCUAAGGUAUAUUUUGGUCUUCUUUUCAAACCUAUUCUAUCGCACAACAUAGGACUUGCUCUGAGAAAAGAUGUUCUUUUUGGGAUGAUGCCAAUAUUAUUUGUUGCAUAAAACGGGGCGAAAGUUAAGUGGACAGUGCGUGAUUAGCUCCGCAUCUAACAGUUGUCUUACAUGGAGUUAAACCUAUCGGUUGUUGUUAUUGUUGUUAUAUAUAUAUAUAUAUAUAUCUCCAUUCCUCUAUCUUAUCUUCUACAAUCUGCUACAGCUGUUGCGCACACCGGUUUCUAUCUUGUUUUCCCUUUUUUUUUUCCUCUUAAUAAUUUGAGACUUGAGAACCAGGAUGCCAGAGGUGUGCCAGAGAGGUUGUCCGAGCAAGCGAGCUGCAUUGGCACGUAGGCUAGUGGCACUCACAAGGCAGCACUGCUCACUGUGAGUGCCCUUUGGCUUCCGUACCCUACGUCAGCACGAUACUUAGCAGCUAGUAAGAAUGUUAUUCUUACCGUUAAAUCUUGAAUUGUAUGUUCUGAAAUCUGUUACAGAAAGAAAUAUUUUGAUUAAGAUUAGAUAUAGGACAGUUAGGACCUUAAUCCAUUACAUUAGACCACUUUUAUACAUGAUCCUCCAAAAUCAGUUUUGUAGGAUUUCAAAAAAAGGAAAAAAAAGAAAAGUUUUAGCGAUGCCUCUGUAACAAAGGGGUACUUAUUACCUUAUAAUCGUAAAGAUAAUAGCUAAACAAUAUAUUCCAUUUACAGGCUAUUCAUUUGUAGCCAUUCUGUAUCUAUUUGUAAUAAACUUAUCUCUCUU
rnacentral:lncRNA from 1 species